GCGUGCUUAACACAUGCAAGUCGAACGGAAAGGCCCUGCUUGCAGGGUACUCGAGUGGCGAACGGGUGAGUAACACGUGGGUGAUCUGCCCUGCACUUCGGGAUAAGCUUGGGAAACUGGGUCUAAUACCGGAUAGGAACCAUCUUUAGUGUGGUGGUUGGAAAGUUUUUUCGGUGUAGGAUGAGCUCGCGGCCUAUCAGCUUGUUGGUGGGGUAAUGGCCUACCAAGGCGGCGACGGGUAGCCGGCCUGAGAGGGUGUACGGCCACAUUGGGACUGAGAUACGGCCCAGACUCCUACGGGAGGCAGCAGUGGGGAAUAUUGCACAAUGGGCGCAAGCCUGAUGCAGCGACGCCGCGUGGGGGAUGAAGGCCUUCGGGUUGUAAACUCCUUUCGCUAGGGGCGAAGCUUUUUGGUGACGGUACCUAGAUAAGAAGCACCGGCUAACUACGUGCCAGCAGCCGCGGUAAUACGUAGGGUGCGAGCGUUGUCCGGAAUUACUGGGCGUAAAGGGCUCGUAGGUGGAUUGUCGCGUCGUCUGUGAAAUUCUGGGGCUUAACUCCGGGCGUGCAGGCGAUACGGGCAUAACUUGAGUGCUGUAG
rnacentral:rRNA from 1 species